rnacentral:rRNA from 1 species
GACGAACGCUGGCGGCGUGCUUAACACAUGCAAGUCGAACGGAAAGGCCCUGCUUUUGUGGGGUGCUCGAGUGGCGAACGGGUGAGUAACACGUGAGUAACCUGCCCUUGACUUUGGGAUAACUUCAGGAAACUGGGGCUAAUACCGGAUAGGAGCUCCUGCUGCAUGGUGGGGGUUGGAAAGUUUCGGCGGGUGGGGAUGGACUCGCGGCUUAUCAGCUUGUUGGUGGGGUAGUGGCUUACCAAGGCAUUGACCGGUAGCCGGCCUGAGAGGGUGACCGGCCACAUUGGGCCUGAGAUACGGCCCAGACUCCUACGGGAGGCAGCAGUGGGGAAUAUUGCACAAUGGGCGGAAGCCUGAUGCAGCAACGCCGCGUGCGGGAUGACGGCCUUCGGGUUGUAAACCGCUUUCGCCUGUGACGAAGCGUGAGUGACGGUAAUGGGUAAAGAAGCACCGGCUAACUACGUG